UGGGGAAUUUUCCGCAAUGGGCGAAAGCCUGACGGAGCAAUGCCGCGUGGAGGUCGAAGGCCCACGGGUCGUGAACUUCUUUUCCCGGAGAAGAAGCAAUGACGGUAUCCGGGGAAUAAGCAUCGGCUAACCCUGUGCCAGCAGCCGCGGUAAGACAGAGGAUGCAAGCGUUAUCCGGAAUGAUUGGGCGUAAAGCGUCUGUAGGUGGCUUUUUAAGUCCGCCGUCAAAUCCCAGGGCUCAACCCUGGACAGGCGGUGGAAACUAUCAAGCUGGAGUACGGUAGGGGCAGAGGGAAUUUCCGGUGGAGCGGUGAAAUGCGUAGAGAUCGGAAAGAACACCAACGGCGAAAGCACUCUGCUGGGCCGACACUGACACUGAGAGACGAAAGCUAGGGGAGCGAAUG
rnacentral:rRNA from 1 species